UUAAUAAAGGAGUAGAAUUAAGAUUUUAUUUGUUUUUCACAAUUAAUUUUGGGAGUAUUGGCGGUAUUUAGUUGAAUUCUGAGGAACUUGUCUAUUUAAAUUGAUAGUACUCAUUAAAUUUUAUCUAUUUAAAAUUUUAUGUAUUGCUGUUUAAUUUAUUGUUUAUUAUUUUUAAUAAGUUUAAAAUAAUUUUUUUAAAAUAAUUCAAGUCAAAAUGUAGAUUUUUAUAGGGUUAGAUGAGUUACAAUUGUAUUAAGGUAUGAAACUGUAAAUUUAGUUGAAAUAUUAAAGAUUUUGAAGGUUGGAUUAGGUUGUAAAAAGAAAAUAAUUAGUUUUUUUGAUAAUUUAUACUAAUAUGU
rnacentral:rRNA from 1 species